rnacentral:rRNA from 1 species
AUUGAACGCUGGCGGCAUGCUUUACACAUGCAAGUCGGACGAGUGGCGAACGGGUGAGUAACGCAUCGGAACGUACCGAGUAAAGGGGGAUAACUGCCCGAAAGGACAGCUAAUACCGCAUAUUAUUCGAGCGGCCGAUGUCUUAUUAGCUGGGUGGCGGGGUAAAGGCCCACCAAGGAGACGAUCAGUAGCGGGGUUGAGAGGAUGACCCGCCACAAUGGGACUGAGACACGGGCCAGACUCCUACGGGAGGAAGAGUUGGGGAAUUUUGGACAAUGGGCGCAAGCCUGAUCCAGCCAUGCCGCGUGUCUGAAGAAGGCCUUCGGGUUUUAAAGGACUUUUGUCAGGGAAGCGGUACCUGAAGAAUAAGCACCGGCUAACUACGUGCCAGCAGCCGCGGUAAUUC